rnacentral:rRNA from 1 species
AUACGUAGGGAGCAAGCGUUGUCCGGAAUUACUGGGUGUAAAGGGCGAGUAGGCGGGACAAAAAGUCAGAUGUGAAAACUAUGGGCUCAACCCAUAGCCUGCAUUUGAAACUUUUGUUCUUGAGAGAUGGAGAGGUAAGCGGAAUUCCUAGUGUAGCGGUGAAAUGCGUAGAUAUUAGGAGGAACACCAGUGGCGAAGGCGGCUUACUGGACAUUUACUGACGCUGAGGAGAGAAAGCGUGGGGAGC